AUUGAACGCUGGCGGCAUGCCUAACACAUGCAAGUCGAACGGUAACAGGCCCUUCGGGGUGCUGACGAGUGGCGGAUGGGUGAGUAAUACUUAGGAAUCUACCCUGUAGUGGGGGACGAACCCGGGGAAACUCGGGCUAAUACCGCAUACACUCUACGGAGGAAAGCGGGGGACCGCAAGGCCUCGCGCUAUUGGAUGAGCCUAAGCCCGAUUAGCUAGUUGGUGGGGUAAUAGCCUACCAAGGCAGUGAUCGGUAGCUGGUCUGAGA
rnacentral:rRNA from 1 species